rnacentral:rRNA from 1 species
GUAUGAAUGGCUAAACGAGGGCUUAACUGUCUCCCUUUUCAAGUCAGUGAAAUUGAUCUACCCGUGCAGAAGCGGGUAUAAAAAUACAAGACGAGAAGACCCUUUGGAGCUUAAGGUACAAAGCUCAGCCACGUUAAGCGACUAAAUGAAGAGCAAAAACUUUGUGAAACGUGGGAUUUUACCUUCGGUUGGGGCGACCGCGGAGGAAAAAUAAGCCUCCAAGUGGACCGGGACAAACUCCUAGAACCAAGAGAGACAUCUCUAAGCCACAGAAUAUCUGACCAAACAUGAUCCGGCCACAAAGCCGAUCAACGAACCAAGUUACCCUAGGGAUAACAGCGCAAUCCUCUCCCAGAGUCCAUAUCGACGAGGGGGUUUACGACCUCGAUGUUGGAUCAGGACAUCCUAAUGGUGCAGCCGCUAUUAAGGGUUCGUUUGUUCAACGAUUAAAGUCCUACGUGAUCU